rnacentral:rRNA from 1 species
GAUCCUGGCUCAGGACGAACGCUGGCGGCGUGCCUAAUACAUGCAAGUAGAACGCUGAAGGGAGAGCUUGCUCUUCUGGAUGAGUUGCGAACGGGUGAGUAACGCGUAGGUAACCUGCCUGGUAGCGGGGGAUAACUAUUGGAAACGAUAGCUAAUACCGCAUAACAUUGAUUAUUGCAUGAUAGUCAAUUGAAAGGUGCAAAUGCACCACUACCAGAUGG